rnacentral:rRNA from 1 species
GUAGGUGGCAAGCGUUGUCCGGAAUUAUUGGGCGUAAAGCGCGCGCAGGCGGUUCUUUAAGUCUGAUGUGAAAGCCCACGGCUCAACCGUGGAGGGUCAUUGGAAACUGGAGAACUUGAGUACAGAAGAGGAAAGCGGAAUUCCACGUGUAGCGGUGAAAUGCGUAGAGAUGUGGAGGAACACCAGUGGCGAAGGCGGCUUUCUGGUCUGUAACUGACGCUGAGGCGCGAAAGCGUGGGGAGCAAACAGGGAUUAGAUACCCUGGUAGUCCACGCCGUAAACGAUGAGUGCUAAGUGUUAGGGGGUUUCCCGCCCCUUAGUGCUGCAGCUAACGCAUUAAGCACUCCGCCUGGGGAUACGGCCCGCAAGGCUG